rnacentral:rRNA from 1 species
AUGACGUCAANUCAUCAUGCCCUUAUGACCUGGCUACACACGUGCUACAAUGGUUGGUACAACGAGUUGCGAGUCGGUGACGGCAAGCUAAUCUCUUAAAGCCAAUCUCAGUUCGGAUUGUAGGCUGCAACUCGCCUACAUGAAGUCGGAAUCGCUAGUAAUCGCGGAUCAGCACGCCGCGGUGAAUACGUUCCCGGGCCUUGUACACACCGCCCGUCACACCACGAGAGUUUGUAACACCCGAAGUCGGUGAGGUAACCUUUUGGAGCCAGCCGCCUAAGGUGGGAUAGAUGAUUGGGGUGAAGUCGUAACAAGGUAG